rnacentral:ncRNA from 1 species
CAUCGUGAGGUGUAGGCAAGAAGAAAGGAUAGCAAAAUCGUAGCCUGACGAACAGAAACCUGAUAUUAAGGCGUUUGCGGCGGAUAAGCUGGCUAAAGGCAGCGAAGUCCAAAAGGCAACCGUAACCCGCAGGCGUAAAGCAGGCAUUU